CCCCUGGCGGCGCGGGAGCGGCCCCGCCGCGCCUCACGGCCCUCAGCGCCCCGCCAUGGCCGCUCAGUGACGCUCCCGGCACCUCAGCGGCGCUCCAGGCUCCUGCCCGUCCCUCAGCGACACUCGGGACACCCGCUCUGCCCCUCUGUGUCCCUCAGGGCAUCCUAGCGACGCUCGCGGCCCCUGCUGUUCCCUCAGCGUCGCUCCCAGCCCUCAGCGAAACUGGCGGCACCUGCUUCUCCCUCAGUGUAACACAGGACGCCUCGUAUUUAAUGUCCCAAAAUGCUCCCUGCAUGAACUUUUGAUUGAAUUGCAGUGAGUCACCAUCAGAGCCAGGAUGGCCAGGUCAGACGGGGAUGUCUUCAGGGAGCCAACGGGGCUCUGCAUGUGGUGAAUGGAGAGGUCCCAAACUCCUCAGGAAUAAGCGACUGCAUCAGAGAGAAGAGAAAGAAUGGGGUUCAAAAGCAGGGCUGGGUGGAGUCUAUGUUUCUGUGACCUCCUGGGAAGUGAAGUGCCUGGUGGCCAGUGGUCCCUGCACACCUGAGCCAGCCCCACCACCUGUGUGUACUCCAGCAUUAGCCUUCUUACCCUGGAUCCCGUGGCCACGCUCCUGAGCUGAGUGCCUGUGCCAUUCAUCAUGCCAGCAGCACAAGAGCAACUGGAAAAAGUGUCAGGAAUUUAUCACCGAUGGCAGGAGCUUUUGUCUGUAAUAAAAAACAUUUUCCCUCUC